ensembl:lncRNA
AUGACAGUGGUCGAAAAGGCAGGAGCCCACUCCUGGCUGGAUUUGGGAACUGAGUCACCCUCUCUGCUGGACUGGGAAACGGGAGCCCACUCAAGGCUGGACGGGACCAGCAGGGACGAAGAUCUAUUUCCAAGUCUAUCAGGUCCCCUUCUAAGUACAGCAGUCCCAGAAAUACACUACUGUGCAAAAGUCUUAGGCACGUUAGUAUUUUCACGCCAAAGAAUGGUGUUCGGCCAGUUAUUUCUAUCUUUUGCUGUAGUGUGUCAGUAGAAAAUAUCAGUUUACAUUUCCAAACAUUCAUUUUGCCAUUAAUUUAAAUAAUAAUCUAGUGAGAUUUCUGAAUGCACAAGCAGUCUGACAACAGCCGGUGCUCCACACAGAGAUCUGAUCUCACCAUCAUCAAAUCUGUCUGUGAUUACAUGAAGAAACAGAUGAAACUGAGACAAAUUAAAUCCAGAAGAACUGUGGUCAUAUCUCCAAGACGCUUGAAGAAACCUUCCUGCAAAGCUACCUGAAAAACAAUGUGCAAGUGUACCUGGACAAAAGCUGUUUUAAGUGCACACCAAAUAUUUAAUAGAAGAUAAUUGAUAAAUAAAUUGAUAAAUAUUUUUGAAAGCAUCCUUACUUUAAAGCAUAUUUACACAAGUGCCUAAAACUUCUCACAGUACUGCUUGUGCAUUCAAAAAUCUCACUAGAUUAUUAUUAAAAUUAAUGGCAAAAUGAAUGUUUGGAAAUGUAAACUGAUAUUUUCUACUGACACACUACAACAAAAGAUAUUAAUGUGCCUAAGACUUUUGCAUAGUACUGUAUAAUUAGCUCACCCUCAGCCCGGCGCUGCAGUGGUCAGAACUCCACUCCGUACUCUCACCAUCCACGGCUAUCUCCCUCAUGGCGGGGACUUUCGCCCGGCUCUCGGACCAGAUCUUAUAGGUUAGGCUCUGCUUCUGGGGCGAUCCUCUGUUCAGUCGCUUGGCUUUGCGCUGGUUCCUUGAUCGCAGUGGGAAUAGGCUCUCCAUCAUCAGUGGGCUCGGGCUGAUGCCCCGCACAACGGGGAGAUGAUAGGCUGGGCACUGGGUCAGAAGCGGAUAUGGCGAGUCCACUCCAUGAAGGUGGUGAAAUCCUCUCGAGGACCAUCUUUGGACGACGGUGCUCUGCUCGCAGUGUUCAAGCUUGUGUCAUAGAAUGAGCAGAGCACAUUGUCUGGGUAGCUGGUGGUGUUAGCUAACAACAGGAACAGUCUUGUAUGGUCCUCUAGAGAUCUUUCCCCCUGCUCCAGCAGGAGGAGGAGGUAUUCGGGAUGGGUGAAUGCAUCCAUGAGGGGAACAAAAAAACACAAAAAACUAAACAAACAAAAACUGUACAAAAACUAAAAACAAAAAUGUAGGGUCGACAUAGAUGUUACGGUUAAGGUCGGGUCUUCUGUCACACUUACACUUACACAGACAGGAACUAAAAUACAAGGGCUAUUUGGGAACUCAGGUGCACAGAAUGACUAAUCAAACUAAACGAGGACAGGAACAUGACCAAAUAAGGGAACACUAUAACAGAAACGGGCAAAACAGGUCCAUAAUCCUUGAUUUAAGGUACUUAAAAAAAAUUAAGACAGCACAAUGCUAGCUUUUGACUAGUUUUGCCAAUGGACCUCAGAUUCCAUGGGUUAUGCUGAGAACAGUGAUAACCUACUGUCUGGCAUUUUGGAUUUCUUCAAAAGUCUGCCUUUUUAAACUUCUCUUCGACCCUGGGUUCGAUUUUCACAAAAUUAGACUCAGAUAAUCUUAAUGCCAUGUUGUCAAAAAGCUUUCACAUUGAUAAAGUUUUUGCUUACUACAUCAACAAAGUUAAAGGCAUGUUGCCAAACUGGAUAUGAGUCUGUAUCUCUGCAACACUGGCAUAUUGACAACAGACUUUGUGUAUGUCGAUGACUGUGUUCCAGUUUGCUUUUAGACACACACUUGCAAACUUCCCUAAACACUUCCCCUCAGGGGAAAUCCAGCUGCCAUUUUGAAGUGUUUUUUCCACUUCGUGAAGUGGACAAGAGACAAUUAUAUAUACAGACCCUCAAGGGAGGGAGCGAGUUUACUUCAUACGUACACUUCAGGCCACUUCAUAUACCACAAUGCAACAUUACUGUGAUGUCACCACAGAUUGCAUUUAAUUUACCCUCAGCUCAAACAGCUUUGUAAUAUGUGUAUUGUUUUUUAAAUAUUUAAAACAGCCCAAUCAUGCCUAUAUAUAUAUAGAAUUCUCAAUCAAACAAACAUUCAAAUUCAGCUCUUUGCAAGGGUUCUGCCAGUAGUGGGCGCUCAUGCAACAUAAUCAAUGACUUACAUCAGCGUAAACGAGAUGGAGGGAAGUUAGUGAGGGAAGGACAUAAAAAAUGAAGUGGAACUUAACCAUUGUCACCCCACACUGACCACACCACAUCAAUUGAUUGCCAGUGCCACCUAUUGGUCAAAAGUGAUAAGCAACUGUGUCACCUUACAAGUGAUUUUAUUUAUGGUCUUUCAACCAUUUUGUCUAAAAUCAGAAACAGAUGUCUUUAAUUACUAUCUUUUUUUUUUCAGUUGGUCUGCCAUAUUUAAGAUCUGAAAUUCAUUUACAUUUGUAGGUUAAAAAAUACUCUUUUAUUUGUAUUAUGUUCUACUGUAUCAUUAUUGCAUUUAUAGACACUACAUAGAAAGCACUUUUUUUAACAGUCACAAAGUUAUUACUAUUCGAAAGACGUACCUAAUCAGCGUGUGUGAUUUUAAACACAGACUAAGUUCACAUUUUAGUUUUGUUUCAUCAUUUCUCAAUGACAUUGAUAUGUUUAUUUUCUUUGUCAUUCAUUGUCACAUGAUAUUAUAUCUGAACGUUUCUCCCACACAGAUACAACACAAUUCUGUCAUAAAAUCAAUAACUGAAUAGUAUUGCAUAAAACUACCAUGACUCAGUGUUCUAUUGUUAUGACUCGUUCCCAAAUACACCACCAGCUCUGUGUGAGUUUUUGAGUGAUGAUGUCACCAGACUAAGGGUAGUGGGAGUUGGACAGAUGCUUGACCAUCUUGUCUGACCCCAGCAGUGGUGGGGUCGGGAGGGGUAUGCUUGGCUGGACACGACAGUGCCAUGAACACUAAUUGGGUCAGUUGGCAGCACAUGGUGACCAUCCACAUUCAGACAAGCGUGAAUGAUGCUGAAGUACAUUCAUAAAAGUUAAUCUCUUGAUUCAGAUAAUUGGAAUGUUGUAGAAUGACAGACUGUGACAUACAUACACACAUAUACAGACUAUAUAUGAUGUUUAGUUUGUGUACAUUUAGUUUGUCGACAGUUGUUAGACAUACUGAUCUCAGAUCAUUCUUGGUGUGUAAUUACUAAUAAAGCAGACUGGGACUAGUUGAGGGGUGGGUGUAAACAAACAAAGACAAUAAAACUACACUACAGACAUUCAGAAGAGAGUCCGAAAAUAUAUGAAGGUAAAUUUUGAUCAACAGUUAAGCUUUGCUCUCAUUUCAAGUUGGAAGAUAUUACAUAUAUGAUUUAGCUGUUGCAAUUUGUUGGUCAGUGAAACACAAGU